UACGGAGGGGGCUAGCGUUAUUCGGAAUUACUGGGCGUAAAGCGCACGUAGGCGGCUUUGUAAGUAAGAGGUGAAAGCCCGGAGCUCAACUCCGGAACUGCCUUUUAGACUGCAUCGCUUGAACCCAGGAGAGGUGAGUGGAAUUCCGAGUGUAGAGGUGAAAUUCGUAGAUAUUCGGAAGAACACCAGUGGCGAAGGCGGCUGACUGGACAUGUAUUGACGCUGAGGUGCGAAAGCGUGGGGAGCAAACAGGG
rnacentral:rRNA from 1 species